rnacentral:lncRNA from 1 species
ACAUCCUACACACUUUUGCUGGGAACAUCUGUGACAGUCGAACGCGUUUUUUCCCUCGUGUUUGACUCCAUCCUUUAUUUUUCAGGAUCUAUAUUCUUGUCCUACUGUUCACAAGAUUUCGUUUUAGCAGAAUGUCUUGGAUGGAAGAAUGAGGAUUACAUAUUUUUGUAUGGUAGAGGUUUAAAUAUACUUGCGUGCAAACAACAUUUCUAUAGUCUGGCUCAUUUAUUCUAUGUAGUGCCCAUACACAGGGUGACAUAUGAGAAAUUGUCCCACAGUAUGAAAUCAAUCACUGUGCUUUUAGGCCUGUGCUUAUUAAGAGGCAGUAAAGAUUUCUUUCCAUUGCCUAGUCUUUUGCAGUAACUUGUUGACCUCGGCUUGGUGCUCUGAGUAAUAGACAUAUGCCAGAGGUUGCCAGGGCAGAAAGCCAAGACCUGGGAUGAGCCAGGUCUCAGCAGGAAAAGGCCAGAGGAGAGGAAGUAAUUUUAUAAUUUAUCAAAAUAGGAAUACUUGGAGCACAGAUUUUAUGAAAAACUAAGAAUUGCUCUUUUAAAAAAUAAAAAUAUGAAAUUCACAGUUAACUUUGAAAUA